UACAGAGGUCCCAAGCGUUGUUCGGAUUCACUGGGCGUAAAGGGUGCGUAGGCAGUCGGAUAAGUCUGACGUGAAAUCUCCGGGCCUAACCCGGAACUGCGUUGGAAACUAUCUGGCUAGAGGAAUGGAGGGGAGACUGGAAUUCCUGGUGUAGCGGUGAAAUGCGCAGAUAUCAGGAGGAACACCGAUGGCGAAGGCAGGUCUCUGGGCCGAUACUGACGCUGAGGAGCGAAAGCGUGGGGAGCGAACAGG
rnacentral:rRNA from 1 species